GACAGAGGCCUCAAGCGUUAGGCGGAAUCACUGGGCUUAAAGCGUGUGUAGGCGGAUCGUUAAGUGUCUUGUGAAAUCCCACGGCUCACCCGUGGAACUGCUGGGCAUACUGGCGAUCUUGGGCCAACUAGGGGCAACUGGAACAAGCGGUGGAGCGGUGAAAUGCGUAGAUAUCGCUUGGAACGCCAAAGGGUGAAAACAGGUUGCUGGGGUUGUGCCGAC
rnacentral:rRNA from 1 species